ensembl:snRNA U6 U6 spliceosomal RNA
AUGCUCACUUCAGCAGCACGUAUAUUAUAAUGAGAAUGGCACAGAGAAGAUUAGCAUGGCCUCUGUGCAAGGAUGACACACGAAUUCUUGAAGAAUUCCAUAUUUUA